rnacentral:rRNA from 1 species
AACGAACGCUGGCGGCAGGCUUAACACAUGCAAGUCGAGCGCCCCGCAAGGGGAGCGGCAGACGGGUGAGUAACGCGUGGGAACAUACCCUUUCCUGCGGAAUAGCUCCGGGAAACUGGAAUUAAUACCGCAUACGCCCUACGGGGGAAAGAUUUAUCGGGGAAGGAUUGGCCCGCGUUGGAUUAGCUAGUUGGUGGGGUAAAGGCCUACCAAGGCGACGAUCCAUAGCUGGCCUGAGAGGAUGAUCAGCCACAUUGGGACUGAGACACGGCCCAAACUCCUACGGGAGGCAGCAGUGGGGAAUAUUGGACAAUGGGCGCAAGCCUGAUCCAGCCAUGCCGCGUGAGUGAUGAAGGCCUUAGGGUUGUAAAGCUCUUUCACCGGAGAAGAUAAUGACGGUAUCCGGAGAAGAAGCCCCGGCUAACUUCGUGCCAGCCGCCGCCGUAAUAC